rnacentral:rRNA from 1 species
GUGCAACCCCCUACCAUUGAGGCAUACGUUCUGCCAAGGAUAGAGAUGCGGUUUGAAACUUUCAAAGAAGCAAAGGACUUCUACAACGUCUAUGCAAAGCACGCAGGUUUUGCUGUCAGGGAAGGUUCUAAGGUUAAUAUCACAGUCUACUUUUGUUGUACGUGCUAUGGAGUCUAUGAAUCAAAGAUUUCAAAUGCAAAGAGACAGAGGAACAAGACCACUGCCAGGACUAACUACAAGGCUAAAAUGAGGAUGAAGAAGGAAAAGGAUGGAACACUUGUCGUAAAGGAGAUAUGCUGGGAACACAACCACAGGCUAGUGGUCAGCCCCCAAAUGCUUGUCUUCUUGCACUCCCAUAAAAACUUUGACAAUCCAAUACUGGGGUAUGUCAAGUACCUGAAGUUCAAAGGCAUUCAAUACGCGCAAAUCAUGAGCACACUGGGCGGCGAUGACCCCGGUGGCUACUUCCUCAAAAUGAACGCUAAAGACCUGAUUAACGCAAAGCAAAAAAAUUCAAGGAUGGGUGAUGUGGACGAUGUCCUAAAGACUAUCAUCUUCUUUAGGGAGAUGAAAGAGAUAAACAAGGAAUUCUUCUGCGACUUACAACUUGAUGAGUCCGACAGAGUGAAGAACAUAUUCUGGGAGAACGUAAGCUGCCGAGGGGCAUACCAAGACUUUGGUGACUGCGUGACAUUUGACACCACAUAUAAGACCAACAAGUACCAUAUGCCACUUGGGGUGUUUGUGGGUACUCAAAACCACUUGCAGACUACAUUCUUUGCUUUUGCCCUAAUAAGAGAUGAGGAUGCAGAUUCAUUCAGGUGGAUGUUCAAAACAUUUUUAAGGUGCAUGAGAGGGAAGGCUCCUACAUGCAUACUCACAAACCAGUGCCCGACAAUGGCUUUGGCGACCCCAGAUGUUUCUGGGAACACAGUACACAAGCUAUGCUGCUGGCACAUUAUGAAGAAGUACAGGGAACUCCUCGCAUACAUGUACAACCUCCACGAAACCUUUAAGGAUGAAUUCACAACAAUCCUCAACUGGCCCCUCAUGCCAACUAAGUUUGAGGCUGCCUGGAAAGCACUCAUGGAUAAGUACAACCUCCAUGAUGAUGCCACGAUGGUGUCAAUGUGGAACGAGCGGGAGAGAUGGAUAUCAGCUUACUUCAAAGAAAUUUUUUGUGCUAGAAUGACAUCCACACAACACAGUGAGAGCAUGAACUAUGUGCUCAAUAAGAACUACCUGCACCGGUUUGUCAGCCAGGUAAACACCUGCGUCAAAUCCAAGAGGCAGAAAGAGAACAAGGAGACAAUGGGUAACUGGGUAUAG